AGUGAACGCUGGCGGCGUGCCUAAUACAUGCAAGUCGCAGGAAGUGGCGCACGGGUGAGUAAUACAUAGCUAAUCUGCCCCUUGCUGGAGGACAACAGUUAGAAAUGACUCCUAAUACUCCAUAGCAAGGGAUGAGACUAUAUCGGAUCAGGUAGUCGGUGGGGUAACGGCCUACCGAGGAUAUGACGCGUAACUGGUCUGAGAGGAUGAUCAGGCAAAGAGGAAAUGAAACAAGGUAAAAACUCCUACGGGAGGAAGCAGUAGGGAAUAAUGCGGAAUGGGGGAAACCCUGAGGAAGCAACGCAGGGAGGAGGAUAAAACUGUUCGGAGGGUAAACUCAUUUUGUUAGGGAAGCGGUACCUAACGAAUAAGCACCGGCUAACUCCGUGCCAGCAGCCGCGGUAAUUC
rnacentral:rRNA from 1 species